UGCAAGUCGAGCGAACCAAUAAGAAGCUUGCUUUUUGUUGGUUAGCGGCGGACGGGUGAGUAACACGUGGGUAACCUGCCUGUAAGACCGGGAUAACUCCGGGAAACCGGUGCUAAUACCGGAUAGAUUAUCUUUCCACCUGGAGAGAUAAGGAAAGAUGGCUUUUGCCAUCACUUACAGAUGGGCCCGCGGCGCAUUAGCUAGUUGGUGAGGUAACGGCUCACCAAGGCGACGAUGCGUAGCCGACCUGAGAGGGUGAUCGGCCACACUGGGACUGAGACACGGCCCAGGCUCCUACGGGAGGCAGCAGUAGGGAAUCUUCCGCAAUGGACGAAAGUCUGACGGAGCAACGCCGCGUGAGUGAAGAAGGUCUUCGGAUCGUAAAGCUCUGUUGUUAGGGAAGAACAAGUAUCGGAGGAAAUGCCGGUACCUUGACGGUACCUGACGAGAAAGCCACGGCUAACUACGUGCCAGCAGCCGCGGUAAUACGUAGGUGGCAAGCGUUGUCGGAAUUAUUGGGCGUAAAGCGC
rnacentral:rRNA from 1 species